CGUGGAAGGUCCAAUUUUCGAGGUCAACACAUAUUAUCGUUUCAUUAGCACGCUCGAACAUAAUUCUUUAAUUUUGGGUUUUUGCGUUUGUUUAACAUUAGUGAAGAACCUUCAUCGACAAAACAAAUUGAAAUUUGUAGUAUUAUGAAACUAAAGAACUAUUAAUGGUCUUUUUUCAUUUUAAUAGUUUGAAUUUUACUAAUGUUGUCCUUGUUUUUCUGCUUUAGUUCUUUUUCGCCGGGCCUAUCUUUACUAGCGUGAUAUUCAAUUAGGAGCUUCCAAUAAGAAAAUCUAUACAUCAAAUUAUCCUGUGGCAGACUGCUCUUUUUUUAUUUUUUUAUUUUAAGACCCCCGUUUGAACGUCAAUGAAGUUUUUCACAUUACUAUUAAAAAAAUAUUGACAAAUCAGUAGAGAACCCUAACAUAUGGUAUAGUAGAGAUUAUGCGAUAAUAACUUUGAUUAAUAAAUGUAUAAGAUAGUUGCUCAGUUAUUUAUUCACCAAACAUGUAAUUAAUUCUUAUAUUAUUUAAUUUGCUUUCUUAAAACAGAAGUUAUCUAUUUUAUGAUUACAAUUUUAGUUUUCAUUUAUUUUUGAGAAGAGUAAUAUUUUAGCACAGUCAAGCAAUGAAAUUUUUAAUAUUUCUUUGAACUUGUCAAAUUUUUUGACCACCUAGAGCAUCUAGAAUUACUUCGAUAGGGAUUUUGGCAACAAAACUCGUAUCCACUUUAUAAGUUUUGGAUUAGUAUGACGUAUUUUAUUUUGUUCUCGUCACUAUGAUCAAAACUGCUAGACCUUCCAGGAGUAGCUUUUUUUUUUUUUUUUAAUGGUUUUUGCAUAGAAUUAUGCAUUAUUAUAACAAGUCUACAAUUCCAUUAUAUUUGUAUUGCUUUUUAAAUUCGCUUCCUAUUCAAAUUGAGCAUUUUCCAUUACCAACUAUAAUUAAUCAUUCAAUUGUUUCCCAAUGGAGCAUUCUUGAUUUUUUUUUUUUUUUUUUUUUACCUAUGAUGACUAUUUUAAUUUGAAUAUAUAUAUAUAUAUUUUUUUAUCUCCACAUUUUUAAUUUUCCAAUUAAAUGCAUAGAUGUGUAAUUUUUUUAGAAUUGAAAAUUCCAUUAAAUUUUAUUUACAGUUCUCACAUUUUUCUUUAUUUUCAGGUUGUCUACUUAAAUUGUACCAACAUAGAAUUGUUAGUCAACUGCUUUCAGGCCAGCUUCUAAUGCUGUAAAUUUACUGGUAAAUAUGAUUUUUUGCUGUUUGAAAUGUUAAUGUGCAAUAAAUUUUUUUUAUUAUUAUUUUUUUGUGUUCCGAACAAUCUUAUUUAUUUUCAACAUUUUCUUUCAUCUAAUUUUCUCUACCAUAUAGUUUGAGAUAUAUAUGAUAGAUUCACUAAUAUAUUUUUCACUUUUUACACUGAUUUGUUUGGAGUCCAAAGAUUCAGCUAUUUUCCCUGUUGCUGUAAUGGAAAUUUCGGAAUCAUUUGUUGAAGUUGACCCUGCUUCUAUUCAUUUUGAAACUAUUUCUGAAACUCAAAAGAACUUGAGUAAUGCUUCCAUACGAUAACAAGAAACUCAAAAAAAAAAAAA
rnacentral:lncRNA from 1 species